CUUUCGUUUAGGGGACCUGCGGAAGGAUCAUUAAAGAUUAUGAAUGAAUAGAUUACUGGGGGAAUCGUCUGAACAAGGCCUGCGCUUAAUUGCGCGGCCAGUUCUUGAUUCUCUGCUAUCAGUUUUCUAUUUCUCAUCCUAAACACAAUGGAGUUUUUUCUCUAUGAACUACUUCCCUGGAGAGCUCGUCUCUCCAGUGGACAUAAACACAAACAAUAUUUUGUAUUAUGAAAAACUAUUAUACUAUAAAAUUUAAUAUUCAAAACUUUCAACAACGGAUCUCUUGGUUCUCGCAUCGAUGAAGAACGCAGCGAAUUGCGAUAUGUAUUGUGAAUUGCAGAUUUUCGUGAAUCAUCAAAUCUUUGAACGCACAUUGCGCCCUCUGGUAUUCCAGGGGGCAUGCCUGUUUGAGCGUCAUUUCUCUCUCAAACCUUUGGGUUUGGUAGUGAGUGAUACUCGUCUCGGGUUAACUUGAAAGUGGCUAGCCGUUGCCAUCUGCGUGAGCAGGGCUGCGUGUCAAGUCUAUGGACUCGACUCUUGCACAUCUACGUCUUAGGUUUGCGCCAAUUCGUGGUAAGCUUGGGUCAUAGAGACUCAUAGGUGUUAUAAAGACUCGCUGGUGUUUGUCUCCUUGAGGCAUACGGCUUUAACCAAAACUCUCAAAGUUUGACCUCAAAUCAGGUAGGAGUACCCGCUGAACUUAAGCAUAUCAAUAAGGCGGAGGAA
rnacentral:rRNA from 1 species